rnacentral:rRNA from 1 species
UACGGAGGGGGCUAGCGUUGUUCGGAAUUACUGGGCGUAAAGCGCGCGUAGGCGGACCUGCAAGUCGGGGGUGAAAGCCCGAGGCUCAACCUCGGAACUGCCUUCGAUACUGCGGGUCUCGAGUCCGGGAGAGGUGAGUGGAAUUCCUAGUGUAGAGGUGAAAUGCGUAGAUAUCGAGAGGAACACCUGCGGCGAAGGCGGGUAGCUGGGCCGACACUGACGCUGAUGCGCGAAAGCCAGGGGAGCGAACGGG